rnacentral:rRNA from 1 species
UUUAACUGAAGAGUUUGAUCAUGGCUCAGAUUGAACGCUGGCGGCAGGCUUAACACAUGCAAGUCGAGCGGAGAGAGGUAGCUUGCUACUGAUCUUAGCGGCGGACGGGUGAGUAAUGCUUAGGAAUCUGCCUAUUAGUGGGGGACAACAUUUCGAAAGGAAUGCUAAUACCGCAUACGUCCUACGGGAGAAAGCAGGGGAUCUUCGGACCUUGCGCUAAUAGAUGAGCCUAAGUCGGAUUAGCUAGUUGGUGGGGUAAAGGCCUACCAAGGCGACGAUCUGUAGCGGGUCUGAGAGGAUGAUCCGCCACACUGGGACUGAGACACGGCCCAGACUCCUACGGGAGGCAGCAGUGGGGAAUAUUGGACAAUGGGCGCAAGCCUGAUCCAGCCAUGCCGCGUGUGUGAAGAAGGCCUUAUGGUUGUAAAGCACUUUAAGCGAGGAGGAGGCUACUUUAGUUAAUACCUAGAGAUAGUGGACGUUACUCGCAGAAUAAGCACCGGCUAACUCUGUGCCAGCAGCCGCGGUAAUACAGAGGGUGCAAGCGUUAAUCGGAUUUACUGGGCGUAAAGCGCGCGUAGGCGGCUAAUUAAGUCAAAUGUGAAAUCCCCGAGCUUAACUUGGGAAUUGCAUUCGAUACUGGUUAGCUAGAGUGUGGGAGAGGAUGGUAGAAUUCCAGGUGUAGCGGUGAAAUGCGUAGAGAUCUGGAGGAAUACCGAUGGCGAAGGCAGCCAUCUGGCCUAACACUGACGCUGAGGUGCGAAAGCAUGGGGAGCAAACAGGAUUAGAUACCCUGGUAGUCCAUGCCGUAAACGAUGUCUACUAGCCGUUGGGGCCUUUGAGGCUUUAGUGGCGCAGCUAACGCGAUAAGUAGACCGCCUGGGGAGUACGGUCGCAAGACUAAAACUCAAAUGAAUUGACGGGGGCCCGCACAAGCGGUGGAGCAUGUGGUUUAAUUCGAUGCAACGCGAAGAACC